AGCGUACACGGNGGAUGCCUAGGCAGUCAGAGGCGAUGAAGGGCGUGCUAAUCUGCGAAAAGCGUCGGCAAGGUGAUAUGAACCGUUAUACCCGACGAUACCCGAAUGGGGAAACCCAGUGCAAUCCGUUGCNCUAUCGCAACAUGAAUACAUAGUGUUGCGAGGCGANCCGGGGGAACUGAAACAUCUCAGUACCCCGAGGAAAAGAAAUCAACCGAGAUUCCCCUAGUAGCGGCGAGCGAACGGGGAGGAGCCCAGAACCUGAAUCAGUUUGUGUCUUAGNNGAAGCGUCUGGAAAGUCGCACGACAGAGGGUGAUAGUCCCGUACACGAAGAGGCAUGGAUUGUGAGUUCGAUGAGUAGGGCGGGACACGUGUUAUCCUGUCUGAAUAUGGGGGGACCAUCCUCCAAGGCUAAAUACUCCUGACUGACCGAUAGUGAACCAGUACCGUGAGGGAAAGGCGAAAAGAACCCCGGCGAGGGGAGUGAAAUAGAACCUGAAACCGUGUACGUACAAGCAGUGGGAGCCUUGAUUAAUCAGGGUGACUGCGUACCUUUUGUAUAAUGGGUCAGCGACUUAUAUUCUGUAGCAAGGUUAACCGAAUAGGGGAGCCGCAGGGAAACCGAGUCUUAACUGGGCGUUAAGUUGNAGGGNAUAGACCCGAAACCCGGNGAUCUAGCCAUGGGCAGGUUGAAGGUUGGGUAACACUAACUGGAGGACCGAACCGACUAAUGUUGAAAAAUUAGCGGAUGACUUGUGGCUGGGGGGGAAAGGCCAAUCAAACCGGGAGAUAGCUGGUUCUCCCCGAAAGCUAUUUAGGUAGCGCCUCGUGAACUCAUCUUCGGGGGUAGAGCACUGUUUCGACUAGGGGGCCAUCCCGGCUUACCAACUCGAUGAAAACUGCGAAUACCGAAGAAUGUUAUCACGGGAGACACACGGCGGGUGCUAACGUCCGUCGUGAAGAGGGAAACAACCCAGACCGCCAGCUAAGGUCCCAAAGUCAUGGUUAAGUGGGAAACGAUGUGGGAAGGCCCAGACAGCCAGGAUGUUGGCUUAGAAGCAGCCAUCAUUUAAAGAAAGCGUAAUAGCUCACUGGUCGAGUCGGCCCGCGCGGAAGAUGUAACGGGGCUAAACCAUGCACCGAAGCUGCGGCAGCGACACUUAGGUGUUGUUGGGUAGGGGAGCGUUCUGUAAGCCUGCGAAGGUGACCUGUGAGGGUUGCUGGAGGUAUCAGAAGUGCGAAUGCUGACAUAAGUAACGAUAAUGCGGGUGAAAAACCCGCACGCCGGAAGACCAAGGGUUCCUGUCCAACGUUAAUCGGGGCAGGGNGAGUCGACCCCUAAGGCGAGGCCGAAAGGCGUAGUCGAUGGGAAACAGGUUAAUAUUCCUGUACUUGGUGUUACUGCGAAGGGGGGACGGAGAAGGCUAGGUUAUCCGGGCGACGGUUGUCCCGGUUUAAGCGUGUAGGUGGAUGUUUUUGGUAAAUCCGGAACAUCGUUAACACUGAGGCGUGAUGACGAGUCACUACGGUGAUGAAGUGACCGAUGCCAAGCUUCCAGGAAAAGCCUCUAAGCUCCAGGUAACACGAAAUCGUACCCCAAACCGACACAGGUGGUCAGGUAGAGAAUACCAAGGCGCUUGAGAGAACUCGGGUGAAGGAACUAGGCAAAAUGGUGCCGUAACUUCGGGAGAAGGCACGCUGGCGUUGGUGAAGGGACUUGCUCCCGGAGCUGAUACCAGUCGCAGAUACCAGCUGGCUGCAACUGUUUAAUAAAAACACAGCACUGUGCAAACACGAAAGUGGACGUAUACGGUGUGACGCCUGCCCGGUGCCGGAAGGUUAAUUGAUGGGGUCAGCCGCAAGGCGAAGCUCUUGAUCGAAGCCCCGGUAAACGGCGGCCGUAACUAUAACGGUCCUAAGGUAGCGAAAUUCCUUGUCGGGUAAGUUCCGACCUGCACGAAUGGCGUAAUGAUGGCCAGGCUGUCUCCACCCGAGACUCAGUGAAAUUGAACUCGCUGUGAAGAUGCAGUGUACCCGCGGCAAGACGGAAAGACCCCGUGAACCUUUACUAUAGCUUGACACUGAACCUUGAGCCUUGCUGUGUAGGAUAGGUGGGAGGCUUUGAAGUGUGGACGCCAGUCUGCAUGGAGCCAACCUUGAAAUACCACCCUUUAAUGUUUGAUGUUCUAACGUGGGCCCCUGACCGGGGUUGCGGACAGUGUCUGGUGGGUAGUUUGACUGGGGCGGUCUCCUCCCAAAGAGUAACGGAGGAGCACGAAGGUUAGCUAAUCCUGGCCGGACAU
rnacentral:rRNA from 1 species